GACGAACGCUGGCGGCGUGCUUAACACAUGCAAGUCGAACGAAGAGCGAUGGAAGCUUGCUUCUAUCAAUCUUAGUGGCGAACGGGUGAGUAACGCGUAAUCAACCUGCCCUUCAGAGGGGGACAACAGUUGGAAACGACUGCUAAUACCGCAUACGAUCUAAUCUCGGCAUCGAGGAUAGAUGAAAGGUGGCCUCUACAUGUAAGCUAUCACUGAAGGAGGGGAUUGCGUCUGAUUAGCUAGUUGGAGGGGUAACGGCCCACCAAGGCGAUGAUCAGUAGCCGGUCUGAGAGGAUGAACGGCCACAUUGGGACUGAGACACGGCCCAGACUCCUACGGGAGGCAGCAGUGGGGAAUCUUCCGCAAUGGACGAAAGUCUGACGGAGCAACGCCGCGUGAGUGAUGACGGCCUUCGGGUUGUAAAGCUCUGUUAAUCGGGACGAAAGGCCUUCUUGCGAAUAGUAGAAGGAUUGACG
rnacentral:rRNA from 1 species